AUUGAACGCUGGCGGCAGGCCUAACACAUGCAAGUCGAACGAGUGGCGGACGGGUGAGUAAUGUCUGGGAAACUGCCCGAUGGAGGGGGAUAACUACUGGAAACGGUAGCUAAUACCGCAUACCAUCGGAUGUGCCCAGAUGGGAUUAGCUAGUAGGGGGGGUAAUGGCUCUCCUAGGCGACGAUCCCUAGCUGGUCUGAUAGGAUGACCAGCAAAACUGGAACUGGGACACGGUCCAGACUCCUACGGGAGGCAGCAGUGGGGAAUAUUGAAAAAUGGGCGCAAGCCUGAUGAAGCAAUGCCGCGUGUAUGAAGAAGGCCUUCGGGUUGUAAAGUACUUUCAGCGAGGAGGCGGUACUCGCAGAAGAAGCACCGGCUAACUCCGUGCCAGCAGCCGCGGUAAUAC
rnacentral:rRNA from 1 species